GAAACUCCAAAUGUAGUGCGUUGUUAUUGUUGUUAUUUCUGGCCUUUUUAUGGUGAAUGAUGUUCUGUUGGUUUCCUUGCUUCAUGUUUUGGCAGGUACGAAACAUUGGCCCAUUAGCUUUCGUGCUUUGGAGUAUUCUUGGCCAUUCUGCAAAGGUUAUGGUAACAAGGUUAACUCAUGUGUACUGCUAUAUCAGCUCGUGUGCCUGACCUGAUUCUGCAGCAGCAAAAGAGCAAAAGAUCGGAUUUCACUCAAUGCUUUCUGUGUAGCUGCAAGCCUUAGGUGACUAGUUCAUAGCAGGUUUUGUUCAUGCAUUGUGAUGUUGUAGUGAUGCAUUGUAAGGUAUAAGCUAUACGACAAAGGACAAGUGGUGACCUCUUCUCUGCAGAAGACUUGCAGACUCACAACUGCUUGGACAAGGCGCAGUGUAGCACCCUCUGAAAUACGGUGGUCAAACGUCGUGGUUCACGACUUUGAAGCAUGAUUCCCUUGUUUGUAGAGACUUUAUUUGAAAUACCAUGAUAUUGUAAUGAGUAUGCACAUGUUUCAAGUUCGUUUCAACUAUGGGUUCAGUUUUUUUGUACACGCUUUAGUCAUGCUGGUUUACUAUUUGUCUUCUUAUUGCUUGGUUUAUAUUUCAAAUGAAUACUAGUUAGAGUUUGUACUACCGAAUUCAUAAUGUAAAUCAAGCUUGUGUUGUGCCCAUAGGUUUCAUGACUUGAUCAACUUUGUUGUCUUGCUGAAAAUGUUUUAAUUGUUGGUUUACGUUC